GACUUUUUAAUGGUAACUACUAUAAAUUAAAGCCGAUUACUACUUAACAUAAAUACUAACCCAAAUUCGACUAGGAGUUGUUAAUAGUAACUGCUAUAAAUAAAGUCGUUAUUAAUUAAUAUUAUUUACCUACCUAGAUCACUACGAACCCACGUACUACACGAAUACUUUGCAAAAAAAAAAAAAAAACAACUUCCCUCGCGUUUUUCUUCCCGCCUCUGCUUCUCUUCUUCUUCUUCUUCCCUGUUUCUUUCUCCAUUACUCCGGUGUUGUUGCUCCUCUUCACCGCCAUCAACACCACCUGACGUUUGGGGAUUUGCAGAGAGACCAGACGCAAGUUCUUGUAUCUUAAAGGUGUGAACGGCCUAUCACUGACACAACCUCUGGUUCUCGUUCUUUUGCCCUGUUUCUCCAUUACUCCGGCGUCGCUGCUCCUCUUCACCGCAAUCAACACCAUCGGAUUUCUGCUCCUCUCCAUUACUCUGGCGUGAACGGCAUAUUACCACUACCACUGACACAGGCACCUUUUUUGACCUUAGAUCUAAAAGUUCUUGUUGAUCGACUGUCAAGAGUAGAUCUAGCUGAAAGACUCUUUGUUGAACUAGAUCUUUUCCCUCCAUAUAAGACUGAUGUUGUUGAAACAUUAUGCAAGUUGGAGAUGUAUUUUCCACCCUCUUUUUUUGACAUAAUGGUUCACUUAAUUGUCCAUCUACUACGGGAGAUCAAGGAAUGCGGUCCUGUUUUUUUGCGAUGGAUGUACCCGUUUGAAAGACACAUGGGGACUUUGAAAGGUUUUGCAACAAAUAAAGCAAAACCCGAAGGUAGUAUUAUCGAGGUACCAUUGAGCAGGAGGCAGGAAACUUUUGUGCCGUGUUCUUGGCUAAAGCUAAAGAAAUUGGAGUUCCAAUAUCUCGUCAUGAGGGAAGACUUCAAGGUAAAGGUACAAUUGGUCGCAAAUUAGUCAAAACUCCAUCUGAUAGAUUCCAGGAAGCUCACCGUUAUGUUCUCCAACACCUUUCAGAAGUUACUCCUUACGUAGAAAAACAUCUCACUGAAUUGAAAAGAGAGAAUCCAAAAAUUGGGCAAUAUGCAUUGAGUGAGACAACACAAUCGUUCAUUUGUUGCAUGGUUUGAAAACCAAGUUAGAAACGAAAGGAGACAAGCAAAUAAUAAUGUUUCUGAAAUUAUUAGAUGGCUUGCACGAGGUCCUCAAUUAUUUGUGAACACUUAUGAACGGUACGACAUCAACGGAUAUUGUUUCUACACUAGUCGUCAAGAUGACAAGAGUGUACAACAGAAUAGUGGUGUUAUGGUGGUUGAAUCUUCUACCGAAUACUCUAGCGCCAAGGAUAGUAGACCAAUUGAUGCAACACAAGCAUAUUAUGGGGUAAUUCAGGAGAUAUGGGAGCUAAAUUACGUCCAUUGCACAAUUCCUUUAAUUCGAUGUCAGUGGGGUGACAAUCGACGUGGUCAGAAAAUGGAUGAAUUAUUUGGUCUUACUUUGGUGGACUCAAGUCGAUUUACUGAUACCGAGGAGCCCUUUGUUUUGGCAUCUCAUGCGAAAUAAAUUUUCUACGUCCAAGACAACAUUGAUCAUCAGUGGCGUGUUGUUGCUCAAGGCAAGAGAAAAAUUGUUGGUAUCGAAGAUGUUGUUGAUGAAGAAGAGUAUGAUCGAUUUGAUGACACCCCGCCUCUAUCUAUUGGUGUUCAACCUCUGGGAGAUGGGGAAGACAUUGUUGAUGAUGGAGACUAUGAUCAUGAAGAAAGAGUAUAUGUUGAUUUAUACAUUCUGUACUUUCACUUUCUGUACUUUUAGUUAAUUUAUACAUUCUCAGGGUUAAUUUAUCAUGGUCAGUUAACCUUAUUCAUAAUUGGUAAGUGUCCUUGUACUUUUGUUUAGAUUCGUUAAACCAACAACUUGUCCAAAUUAUCUCAUCUAUAUGGAUUCAUUUAACUGAUGGAUGAAUACUUUGGUUGUAUAGUUUAGCUAACUUCGGUUGUAUACUUGCCAGAAUUAGUAUGGCUGAUGAACAAAGUCAAGAGCAAAGAUCAGCGGAACAAAGUCAAGAUCAAGGAUCCGCUAAACAAAAUGUACCUUCUAAGAAGAGGAGUAGGGGUCCAUCAAAGGGGGUACAGUCAAGUACGCCUAUGUUCCUAGAGUUUAAUGCUUUUGAUUUGCCUUAUUAGGACUGGGAAGCUGCCUAUGGGAAACAAAUUGGCGCUUGUGCUAAGAGAAUUGAUAUAAAUUUCAACGAAUAUUCGAAGAUUGAUAAAGUUGACAAGGACAACUUAUGGGAGGAGACAAAGCGAAAGUUUCCCAUUGAGGAUCCAACUGGUGAGAAGCAAAAAAAGUAUCAUAGCGUUGUGGCUGCACGAUUCAGAUGCCAUAAGUCAAAUUUGAGGUCUCAUUUUAUCACUUUAACAAACCCGUACCCACCAGAUUCUCCAAAAGCACACAUGAAGCCAUGGGAAGUGUAUGAAGGUUACUUCACGGAGGAUCAGUGGAAGGCCUUUAAGAUACAUAGUAACUUGCCAGAGUUUAAGGUGUCUGUAUCAACAUGAUGCUCCGGUAAACACAAUGCGGUUUGAUGCUUGGGAUUCAGGUGAUUCCCCAGGAUGGAGGUUGCGUGAUUGACCGGGGAGAGAGAGAGAUAGAGAAUUAGCAGGUCUAAAGAAAAAAUCAGGGUUUUGGUUUUUUAGUUGUUACUGAAUAUAUGAUACUAAAAUCUCACUUCAGCUUUCCCACAACUUUGGCAUGAACUUCUUUGGCAUGAACUCAACAGAUCCUGAACAGAGUAAUGAAGAGCCUAAUAUGCAUCAUAAGCAGUCAGCAUCUGUUGCUAAAGCACAGUCAUUAUACCCAGAUUGUUGAAGCGAGCAUUAAAGUUCUAAAAAUAAAUACAAUUAUACGAGUAGCUAGUUUGAUGCAAGUAGUGAAGUCUAAAAGGAAAAAUAGCUGCCGAUUCAACAACAUAAUGAUAAGUAUCAGAGACAUAACCAACAGAAAAAUGAGAUUUCUCUCUAAAGUCAGGCUAUAUUAUGCGGACUCCAAGAUUCAUAAUAGCAGGAAACAUUAGAGGUUUAAUAUGAGAAUGGGUUUACUGAUCAUCGCUUACAGUUUCAAACACCUAGAAUUUUUGCAAUUACAUUGCUUUGGCUUCUUUGGAGGGCCAUCUUUGCCAUCAGCAACAGUAGCUAGUGGUUGAGAACUUGGAGGCUCUGGCUUGCUAACAAAGAAGACAGGUGGGCAAGGAUAAGCAAGAAAAACAGUGGAUUUUAAUAUAAACACAAAGAAGACAAGUAGGCAAGGAUAAGAAAGAAAGUUUUGCAUAUAAAAAGUUCAGUCUGAAGUUCAGCCACAGACUGUCAAAAGUUAAAAGGGAAAGGAAAAUGCAAAGUUAAACAAAUGUCGCCAUCACUUAGGCCAACAUAGUUGUCAAAGGGCCCGGAAAAAAUGGAGUCAGCAAAAGUGACAUGAAAAGAGACUCCCCGCCAUAUCAGAAUCAUCAACGACCGUUUCUGAGCAGAGUACUAUCUCAACCAAUUCCGAUUUUAUAAACGCUCUGUGGAAUGGCUUUUAGCGCAUGAAAAGCCGCAGCCAGAAGGAACGUGGGCUAUUGACCCCAAAGAUACAAAGACUAUUCGCAUUGCUAAUCUAGUUGAGGAUCAUUUGCAAAAACAGGCCAAAGAGCGAGAGGAAGGGGUAUAUAAACCAUUAGAGCGGGGUGUUGAUGCCCUUACCAUGGCUCUUGGGAAAAAGGACCACCGUGGAUUUGUCAAGGGACUUAGUGGGUGUGGGAUUGGUGUAGGCUAUAAGCAAGCAUUUGGGACGGUAGAUCGGAAAGCUAAAAAGACGACCCAUAGUGGUGGUUCCCCAAAAGAGUUAGAAGAGAUGAAAGCUAGCCUAACUCGAGAAUUUGAAGCAAGACUAGAAGAGUAAAAUGUUGGAGAAUGAUGGAAAAAGAUAGAAAUAUGCUCGAAGCAGACCCGUGCGAUCGCACGGGAAUUCUGUGUGUUCGCACGGGUCAGCAGACUUGUCCCUAAAGUCAAUCAGGCCCGUGCGAUCGAGUCCCAAAAGUGUGUGUUCGCACGAAAUCGAAAAUACGAUGCGGGGACUAUUUGGAGUUUCGUGCGAUCGCAUCAGAAACGAGCCCGAUCGCCCUGAUAUUUUGUGUGCUUGCACAGAAUUUCCGUGCGAGCACAUGAAGAAUGUUGAAGUAUUGGCUAAGUCAAGACCGUGCGAUUGCACGGAUUUAGAGCUCGUUCGCACAGUUCGAAGAGAAGAAUCGUUGCUGAGAACGAUCGCACGGAUCCAGGGCACGUUCGCACCCGUGCGAUCGCACCUGGGUUUCCACGAUCGCACAGCUGUGCGGGCUGACUUAUUCGAGUUUAAAUUUCUAUUUUCUUAGGGAUUGUAUAAAUAGAAUUUUCAUUUUUUAUAAUGAACAAUUAAUUUUCAGAAAUAGAAUUUAGGAAGUUUUAGAAGGUUUGCUCUUCAAGCUAGUUUUCUAGAGAGAGAAACUCCAUUGAUUUGAAGCUUCAAUUUGUAAUUUCUUCAACUCUUCUCAAUUCCUUGCAAUUUAAUUCAAGUUCUUAGUUCUUUGUUCA